UACAAGUACCGUGAGGGAAAGUUGCAAAGCACUUUGAAGAGAGAGUUAAAGAGGACGUGAAACCGAUGAGAUGGAAACGGACAGAGCUGGCGUAUCUGGUCUGCAUUCAUCCGUGUGUUCUUGGGCGUUUGGAUUGCCACUCUCCAGACUGGGAUGGUGUUCAUUCUGCUCAGGGGCUCAUGGAGCAUUUGCAGGCGGAGUGCGCUGAGAUGCUCGGGACAGCUGCAUGAGCUUGGCUUUGAGGCCAGCCCUUCGGGGUCUGGUACCCGGGCUGUGGGAGUGCUGUUUGUUCUGGGUGCUGAGUGUGUGCAAUGGCAACGGGUCCGUGUUGGUUUGAGCUGGUGGUUGGUGGCGGUCGCGUGCGACACGUGCCGGCAGUCAGUUCGGUCCUGCUCGGGCUCUCAUUGCAUGUUCUCGGUGUAAAAGCCGGUCAUCUGUCCGACCCGUCUUGAAACACGGACCAAGGAGUUUAGCGUGUGCGCGAGUCAUUGGGAGUUGAAAACCCAAGGGCGUAAUGAAAGUGAAGGUCUCCUUGCGGAGCUGAUGUGUGAUCUCGUGCACCCCGGUGUGCGGGCGCAACAUAGUCCCGUCCCGAUCGCAUGCGAUGGGGCGGAGACAGAGCGUACGCGCUGAGACCCGAAAGAUGGUGAACUAUUCCUGAGCAGGAUGAAGCCAGAGGAAACUCUGGUGGAAGUCCGAAGCGAUUCUGACGUGCAAAUCGAUCGUCUGACUUGGGUAUAGGGGCGAAAGACAAAUCGAACCAUCUAGUAGCUGGUUCCUUCCGA
rnacentral:rRNA from 1 species